rnacentral:rRNA from 1 species
UCCGUAGGUGAACCUGCGGAAGGAUCAUUAUUC